GUAUCUGUAUGUGUGUGUGUCUGCAUCUGUAUGCAUGUCAGUGUUUGCAUAUGUGUAUCUGCAUGUGUGGCAGUGUUUAUCUGUCUGUCCAUGUGUGUCAGUCUUUGUGACCGUGUGUGUAUCCGCAUGUGCGACAGUGUUUGUACAUCUGUAUGUGUGUAUCUGUGAGCCUUUAUCUGUAUGUUUGGCAAUGUUUGUAUCUGUGUUUCUGCAUGAGUGUCAGUGUGUGUGUCUGUUUAUCUGUAUCGUUGUGUAUGUGUGGCAGUGUUUCUAUCUGUGUGUCUGUAUCUGCAGGUGUGGCAGCGUUUUUAUGUGUGUAUCUGUACUUCUAUAUGUGUGGCAGUGUGUGUAUUUGCAUGUGUGUCUGCGCAACUUUGUGUGUUAAUGUAUCUAUGUCUGGUUAUCCGUAUGUGUGGCAGUGUUUGUAUCUGUAUAGCAGUGUGUGUGUCUGUGUGCCUGUAUCUGCAUAUGUGUCAGUGUUUCCAUCUCUGUGUUGAUGUAUCUGCAUUUGUGGCAGUGUUUGUAGUUGUAUCUUUCCAUCUGUAUGUGUGUCUGUGUUUGUAUGUGUAAGUGUUUAUAUCCAUAUGUUUAUAUGCAUGUUUGUAUCUGUAUGUCUGUAUCUGUGUCAGUUGGUUAUUGUUUGGAUCUCUAUCUGUACAUUUGUGUGUGUGUGCAUGUGUAUCAGUGUCUUUG